rnacentral:rRNA from 1 species
UUGUUAAGGAACUCGGCAAAAUGACCCCGUAACUUAGGGAGAAGGGGUGCCUGUCUAUGACAGGCCGCAGAGAAUAGGCCCAAGCGACUGUUUACCAAAAACACAGGUUUCUGCUAAGUCGCAAGACGAUGUAUAGGAGCUGACGCCUGCCCGGUGCUGGAAGGUUAAGGGGAUCUGUUAGAGCAAUCGAAGCAGUGAACUUAAGCCCCAGUAAACGGCGGCCGUAACAAUAACGGUCCUAAGGUAGCGAAAUUCCUUGUCGGGUAAGUUCCGACCCGCACGAAAGGCGUAACGAUUUGGGCACUGUCUCAACAAUAGACUCGGUGAAAUUGUAAUCCCGGUGAAGAUGCCGGGUACCUGCGACAGGACGGAAAGACCCCAUGGAGCUUUACUGUGGCUUGACGUUGGGUCUUGGUACUACAUGUACAGGAUAGGUGGGAGACUAUGAAGCAUGGACGCCAGUCUGUGUGGAGUCAUCCUUGGGAUACCACCCUUGUAGUACUGGGAUCCUAACCAUAGGCCUUGAAUCAGGUCUUGGAACACCGUCAGGUGGGCAGUUUGACUGGGGCGGUCGCCUCCUAAAAAGUAACGGAGGCGCUCAAAGGUUUCCUCAGCACGGUCGGAAAUCGUGCGAAGAGUGUAAAGGUAAAAGGAAGCUUGAUUGCAAGACAUACAGGUCGAGCAAGGACGAAAGUCGGACUUAGUGAUCCGGUGGUACCGCAUGGAAGGGCCAUCGCUCAACGGAUAAAAGCUACCCUGGGGAUAACAGGCUUAUCUCCCCCAAGAGUCCACAUCGACGGGGAGGUUUGGCACCUCGAUGUCGGCUCAUCACAUCCUGGGGCUGUAGUAGGUCCCAAGGGUUGGGCUGUUCGCCCAUUAAAGUGGUACGCGAGCUGGGUUCAGAACGUCGUGAGACAGUUCGGUCCCUAUCCGUCGCAGGCGUAGGAAAUUUGAGAAGACCUGUCCUUAGUACGAGAGGACCGGGAUGGACGUACCUCUGGUGUACCAGUUGUUCUGCCAAGGGCAUGGCUGGGUAGCUAUGUACGGAAUGGAUAAGCGCUGAAAGCAUCUAAGCGCGAAGCCAACUUCAAGAUAAGAUUUCCCACCGUAAGGGUAAGACCCCAGGAAGACUACCUGGUUGAUAGGUCGAAGGUGUAAGUGCAGUAAUGUAUUUAGCUUAUCGAUACUAAUAGGUCGAGGACUUGACGA